rnacentral:rRNA from 1 species
GAUGAACGCUGGCGGCGUGCUUAACACAUGCAAGUCGAACGGAAAGGCUCCUGCUUGCAGGGGUACUCGAGUGGCGAACGGGUGAGUAACACGUGGGUGAUCUGCCCUGCACUUCGGGAUAAGCCUGGGAAACUGGGUCUAAUACCGGAUAGGACGAUGGUUUGGAUGCCAUUGUGGAAAGUUUUUCGGUGUGGGAUGAGCUCGCGGCCUAUCAGCUUGUUGGUGGGGUAAUGGCCUACCAAGGCGUCGACGGGUAGCCGGCCUGAGAGGGUGUACGGCCACAUUGGGACUGAGAUACGGCCCAGACUCCUACGGGAGGCAGCAGUGGGGAAUAUUGCACAAUGGGCGCAAGCCUGAUGCAGCGACGCCGAGUGGGGGAUGACGGCCUUCGGGUUGUAAACUCCUUUCGCUAGGGACGAAGCGCAAGUGACGGUACCUGGAGAAGAAGCACCGGCUAACUACGUG